GGGGAUGUAGCUCAGCUGGGAGAGCGCAGGCUUCGCAAGUCUGAGGUCGUGGGUUCGAUCCCCAUCAUCUCCACCA
rnacentral:tRNA from 1 species